CUGCCUUUCCUCAGGCUGUGCCUUUAUUGCUUCCGCUCACACCUGGAAUAGGAUUUGAGUGGAAAUGUGAUUGGAGUAGAAGGCAUCAGGGAGGGAGCCUGAGCUGAGACCACAUCUUGAAAACACAGAAUUGAGGGAGCAGAUGGAAGAAAGAAAGUCAGCAGGCUUGGAGGAUGAUGAUAACCCAAAGAAGAUUAAGGUGCUGGUGGAGGAGCUGGAUGACCUGUCCUGACCCACGACCCUGAACCUCAGCCAGAUUGCAGCCUCUCAGAACCAGUGCUUGGACUCCAUGUUGGCUCCAAGCCCUCAACACUGCCAAAGUCUCCAGAGGAAACAGCUGGUGUCACAGCUACUGACUGUGUCCUGGCCAGCUGCAGAAAUAAAGAGAUUUCAGGUAUACAUCAUUAUAACUUGACUUCUGUAUAUACUACAUCGUGUUCACCACCAAAAGGUUUCCAUUCGCUACCAUACAAAUGGAUGGAUUUUAAAGUCAUUAUGCUACAUGAAGGAACGCAGACAUGAAAGAAUACAGUGAUCUUCUUACCACUUGUUGUGAGCCUAUGAUG
rnacentral:lncRNA from 1 species